rnacentral:rRNA from 1 species
AGAAUUGACGGGGCCGCACAAGCGGUGGAGCAUGUGGUUAAUUCGAUGCAACGCGAAGAACCUUACCUGGGCUUGACAUCCCGAGAAUCUUCUGGAAACAGGAGAGUGCCCUUCGGGGAACUCGGUGACAGGUGCUGCAUGGCUGUCGUCAGCUCGUGUCGUGAGAUGUUGGGUUAAGUCCCGCAACGAGCGCAACCCUUGUCUUUAAUUGCCAUCAUUCAGUUGGGCACUUUAAAGAGACUGCCGGUGUCAAACCGGAGGAAGGUGGGGAUGACGUCAAGUCCUCAUGGCCUUUAUGCCCAGGGCUACACACGUGCUACAAUGGGCGGUACAAAGAGAAGCAACCUCGCGAGGGUGAGCAAAUCUCAAAAAGCCGUUCUCAGUUCGGAUUGAAGUCUGCAACUCGACUUCAUGAAGUCGGAAUCGCUAGUAAUCACGGAUCAGCAUGCCCGCGGUCGAAUACGUUCCGGGCCUU